GCAUGAAGCUGGAAUCGCUAGUAAUCGCAGAUCAGAAUGCUGCGGUGAAUACGUUCCCGGGUCUUGUACACACCGCCCGUCACACCAUGGGAGUUGGGAAUGCCCGAAGUCAGUGACCCAACCGCAAGGAGGGAGCUGCCGAAGGCAGGCUUGAUAACUGGGGUGAAGUCGUAACAAGGUACC
rnacentral:rRNA from 1 species